rnacentral:rRNA from 1 species
AUGGAUGAGCCUGCGUUGGAUUAGCUAGGUGGUGGGGUAAGGGCCUACCAAGGCUACGAUCCAUAGCUGAUUUGAGAGGAUGAUCAGCCACAUUGGGACUGAGACACGGCCCAAACUCCUACGGGAGGCAGCAGUGAGGAAUAUUGGACAAUGGGGGCAACCCUGAUCCAGCAAUGCCAUGUGUGUGAAGAAGGCCUUAGGGUUGUAAAGCACUUUAGUUGGGGAAGAAAGCUUUGAGGUUAAUAGCCUUGAGGAAGGACGUUACCCAAAGAAUAAGCACCGGCUAACUCCGUGCCAGCAGCCGCGGUAAUACGGGGGGUGCAAGCGUUAAUCGGAAUUACUGGGCGUAAAGAGUCUGUAGGUGGUUUGUUAAGUCAGAUGUGAAAGCCCAGGGCUCAACCUUGGAACUGCAUUUGAUACUGGCAAACUAGAGUACGGUAGAGGAAUGGGGAAUUUCUGGUGUAGCGGUGAAAUGCGUAGAGAUCAGAAGGAACACCAAUGGCGAAGGCAACAUUCUGGACCGAUACUGACACUGAGGGACGAAAGCGUGGGGAUCAAACAGGAUUAGAUACCCUGGUAGUCCACGCUGUAAACGAUGAGUACUAGCUGUUGGAGUCGGUGUAAAGGCUCUAGUGGCGCAGCUAACGCGAUAAGUACUCCGCCUGGGGACUACGGCCGCAAGGCUAAAACUCAAAGGAAUUGACGGGGACCCGCACAAGCGGUGGAGCAUGUGGUUUAAUUCGAUGCAACGCGAAGAACCUUACCUGGUCUUGACAUCCUGCGAACUUUCUAGAGAUAGAUUGGUGCCUUCGGGAACGCAGUGACAGGUGCUGCACGGCUGUCGUCAGCUCGUGUUGUGAAAUGUUGGGUUAAGUCCCGCAACGAGCGCAACCCCUAUUGAUAGUUACCAUCAUUAAGUUGGGUACUCUAUUGAGACUGCCGCUGACAAGGCGGAGGAAGGUGGGGACGACGUCAAGUCAUCAUGGCCCU